GUUGUUCAAUUUACAAAUAUUAAGCUUGUAUAAAUAACAUGAAAUAUUUCUGUUUCCCUUCAAAACAUAUGCCAAUCUUGAAGAUCACACUUAAUUUUCAGCGGUGUUACAUCUACAUAUCUAAAUCAUGUUAAUACCAAAUGAAAUAGUUAUGGUUUUCCUCCGCCCCCUUGGAGCAGUGGAAGGAAACCCCAUCUAUCGAGAAACUUUCAAGGAGGGAAUAUUUUGGGGUCUGCCAUUUCACCACUGAUGCUGCAAGCACCAACGAGUCAUCUGCUUAAGACUCCUUUCCUUCCAGUGUCCGCCAGAUUACAAGUGAGGACACUGAGGUUGUAAGAGAACUAAUCAUAAAGGGACUGUGCGUAUAUCUUCACGAGGACCCAGCACACCUGUUCAUGGAAUAUGAGGUGAGUCCAACUAAUGUAUCAUUGACAGCAGAAUUUAGAUUACUUUACAAGGACAAGUGUUUUGUUGAUUAUUUGAGUUGAUAAUUUGAGUCCCGGCUGUGUGUGUAACAAUGCUUGUUGUGAAUGUGUGUGUAACAAUGCUUUGAAACCUUUCUACUUCCCCUUCAGGUGGUGAUUGGUCAUAUUUUGCUCCUAUAAAACUUAAUUGAAAUUAUUGUCUGUCCUGU